GGGGGGGGGGGGGGGGGGGGGGGGGGGGGGGGGGGGGGGGGGGGGGGGGGGGGGGGGGGGGGGUUGGCACUGUCCUGGCAUUGUCCUGUCACUGUCCUGUCACUGUCCUGGCAUUGUCCUGGCACUGUCCUGGGGGGGGGGGGGGGGGGGGGGGGGGGGGGGGGGGGGGGGGGGGGGGGGGGGGGGGGGGGUCAUUGUCCUGGCACUGUCCUGGAAUUGUCCUGGCACCGUCCUGGAAUUGUCCUGGAAUUUUCCUGGCACCGUCCUGGCACUGUCCUGGCACUGUCCUAUGAAUGGUUUUGGGGUCCUCGUCCUCGCCAGGAGCGGGGUUAGAGCCUCCCUGCAGAGCAGAUCCAGGCAGGAGGUGAUGCCGAGCUUUGGGCUGAGCUGGUGCCCCUCGGGUGAGGCUGCAGGAGGCACUGGGAUGCUCCAGUUUGGUUUUGGGCUGGGCUGGUGCCCCUCGGGUGAGGCUGCUGGAGGGCACUGGGAUGUUCCAGCUGGGCUUUGAGCCCGACUGGUGCCCCUCGGGUGAGGCUGCAGGAGGCACUGGGAUGUUCCAGCUCACCAGACCCGCGGGGUUCCACUUGCUUGGAGUCCCCACCUGUGUCCCCACCCCCGCCUGCAGCUCCGGGCGCUGUCGGAGCUUUUUCCCCCCCGAACCCUCAGGGGGAGCGGGGGGGGGGGGGGGGGGGGGGGGGGGGGGGGGGGGGGGGGGGGGGCUUUUUCCCCCCCCGAACCCUCAGGGGGAGCGGCUCCAGCUGCCCGCGGGGUGCUUGCUGCAGGAAAAGCGGAGCGGGAGGGGCAGAUUUGCCUCUCCACCAGGACGGGGCGAUUUUGGGGCUCUGGGCAGGGAGGAGCCCGCGGCUUUUCCCGGUGCUCCUCAGGAAACCGCGGUGGUUUUUGCGAGGUUUCCUGGGGAUUCUCUCCCUCCUCUGCAUUCAGGAUGGGCUCGGUGACCCCUGGGGGCGGCAGGGGGCAGGAAAUGACAGCCAGAGGUUUCCAGAUGUGCCAGGGAUGUGGUGAGGUGAGGAUGGAGCCGCUCUCUCUGUCCAUUCAAUUCCCCCCUUGUCGCUGCCCACGCUCAAGCCGCAGUGAAAAACGAAUUUUUUUUUCUAUUUUUUUUUGGUA
rnacentral:lncRNA from 12 species